CAGCCGCGGUAAUACGUAGGCAGCGAGCGUUGUUCGGAAUUACUGGGCGUAAAGAGUGUGUAGGCGGUGCUCUAAGUUCGGUGUGAAAUCUCCUGGCUCAACUGGGAGGGUGCGCCGGAAACUGGAGUGCUUGAGCGUGGGAGAGGAAAGCGGAAUUCCUGGUGUAGCGGUGAAAUGCGUAGAUAUCAGGAGGAACACCUGUGGUGUAGACGGCUUUCUGGACCAUUGCUGACGCUGAGACACGAAAGCGUGGGUAGCAAACAGGAUUAGAUACCCUGGUAGUCCACGCCCUAAACGAUGCAUACUUGGUGUCGGCCAUUCAGUUGGUCGGUGCCGGAGCUAACGCGUUAA
rnacentral:rRNA from 1 species